rnacentral:rRNA from 1 species
UUUUCCUACGGGGGGCAGCAGUGGGGAAUAUUGCACAAUGGGGGAAACCCUGAUGCAGCGACGCCGCGUGGGUGACGAAGUAUUUCGGUAUGUAAAGCCCUAUCAGCAGGGAAGAAGAUGACAGUACCUGACCAAGAAGCCCCGGCUAACUAUGUGCCAGCAGCCGCGGUAAUACAUAGGGAGCGAGCGUUAUCCGGAUUUAUUGGGUGUAAAGGGUGCGUAGACGGAAAUACAAGUUGGUUGUGAAAGCCCUCGGCUUAACUGAGGAACUGCAACCAAAACUAUAUUUCUUGAGUAUCGGAGAG